UACGUAGGGUGCAAGCGUUAAUCGGAAUUACUGGGCGUAAAGCGUGCGCAGGCGGCUUUGCAAGACAGAUGUGAAAUCCCCGGGCUUAACCUGGGAACUGCAUUUGUGACUGCAUGGCUGGAGUGCGGCAGAGGGGGAUGGAAUUCCGCGUGUAGCAGUGAAAUGCGUAGAUAUGCGGAGGAACACCGAUGGCGAAGGCAAUCCCCUGGGCCUGCACUGACGCUCAUGCACGAAAGUGUGGGGAGCAAACAGG
rnacentral:rRNA from 1 species